AGUGGAAAAGCGCAUAAGUGCAGUACCACCGCUCCCUAUAUGCAGAGUACGCAGUUUGCGUAGGGCACCAACUCCCAGGG